rnacentral:tRNA from 1 species
CCUGUGGUAGCUCAGCUGGCAGAGCAUGCGCUCGAUAAGCGCAGGGUCGGUGGUUCGAGACCACCCCGCAGGAC